CUUUUCAGUACCAACCUGGUACAAAUAAAAUGGCAGCAGUCACAUGAGAAUAUUGGAGAGUUAGUUCUUUGAUGACACUUCCCCUAGGCAAGCACAUUAAGCAAAUCUACUCAAAACAUAGCAGAGCCGCAACCUCCAUGUUAAUGAUAGUUUAUUUAGCCGUGCAUUUAUACGAAAUGGUGAUGUUUGCUGUCUCCCUGCUUCUCUCUUGGCAGAUGGCUACACCACGGAUGACAUUGAGUUUUACUGGCGAGGCGGGGACAAGGCUGUUACCGGAGUGGAAAGGAUCGAGCUCCCGCAGUUCUCCAUCGUGGAGCACCGUCUGGUCUCGAGGAAUGUUGUCUUCGCCACAGGUGCCUAUCCUCGACUGUCACUGAGCUUUCGGUUGAAGAGGAACAUUGGAUACUUCAUUCUUCAGACUUAUAUGCCCUCUAUACUGAUAACGAUUCUGUCGUGGGUGUCCUUCUGGAUCAAUUAUGAUGCAUCUGCUGCUAGAGUUGCCCUCGGGAUCACAACUGUGCUGACAAUGACAACCAUCAACACCCACCUUCGGGAGACCU
rnacentral:sRNA from 1 species